rnacentral:rRNA from 1 species
GAUGAACGCUGACAGAAUGCUUAACACAUGCAAGUCUUUGGCGAAGCUGUGCUUGCACAGCCUAGCCAAGGCGGACGGGUGAGUAACGCGUAAGGAACUUGCCCUGCAGUCAGGGAUAACAGACGGAAACGACUGAUAAGACCUGGUAAAGUCAGGCGGACUCAUGUCCAGCCUGAUGAAAAGAGAUGCUGCAGGAGAGCCUUGCGUCCUAUUAGCUUGUUGGUGGGGUAACGGCCCACCAAGGCGAUGAUAGGUAGCCGGCCUGAGAGGGUGGACGGCCACAAGGGGAAUGAGAUACGGCCGUUACUCCUACGGGAGGCAGCAGUGGGGAAUAUUGGAGAAUGGGGGCAACCCUGAUGCAGCAAUUCUGUGUGCACGAUGAAGGUUUUCGGAUUGUAAAGUGCUUUCAGAAGGGAAGAAAAAAAUGACGGUACCUGCAGAAGAAGCGACGGCUAAAUACGUG